rnacentral:lncRNA from 1 species
CCAUGUUCAAAUACCUCUAAUACCCCUGUCCUAUUUUCUUAAUUACUGGCAUAAGUGUUUCUAAACCCUGGUUCCUAUCUAUUUGGUCAGAAACUGACCCUAGUUAACUAUUUCAGGUUAUAAACCUAGAUUAUUAUUAGGAACUAGGAUCAAAUUCUGAAUUGCAGACUAUAUUAUGCAAAAGCAAACAACCAAGGGUCAAAAUUUGAUCAAUGCAACAUAUAUUCAGGAAAAUAUCACAAUGUGUAAUUAAAUUACUCAUAAACAAAGAUGAAAUAUAUCAUCACAACCUUCAUAAGUACAUGGAUACUAAUCGAUUUUGGAACCUAAAGAACUGAAAAAUCAGAGCAUGCUAAUUCAGGGACACUUGUGAAUUUAAAUAUUAAGCAGACUAGAAGCAGGUAAAACUAGAGCAUGUGGUGGAAAUGAAGUCAUUAACCAGAAAAACCUAACAGAUGAGCAAAUGGGCAUGCAUGCCUUUACAUAACAAAAUUGCAGAAGCAAACGAAAGGAAGAAUAAAAGCAAUCAGAAGAGAACAAAGAGCAAUUAUACAACAAUUAUAAGGACGAACAAAUUAAAACAC